UGGGCCAUAGUCACUCAUGCAUGUGUUCA
rnacentral:piRNA from 1 species